CACACACCUACAACCAAGAGAGAAAAUUGUGAGAUUUGUGUAGUUUUGUGUGGUUCAAGACUUGAAGUAUGUGCUAAGAAGUAUUUUGAAAAGAAGUUUAAAGGAACUACACGAAGAAGAGUGUUAAUAGACAAAGACCAGAACUCAAGAGGUUUUAUAGCUAAGGACGCAUAGUUUAUAUUUUGUUUGUAGUCUUCUGUGUUUAUAGCAUUUUAUGUUGACAAGAUUGCUAAUGAUUUAUAUGUAUUCUUUUGUGUCAUUAUGGACACCUGUUUCCUUGUAUUUGUUAUAAGUAUUUUCUAAUGAAUAUCUAGAGGUAUUUAAUUUAAAAAGCUCUAAUGUGUUAUUUAAUCCAAGCCUGUUGGACAAAAAUAUAUUCCGCUGCGAGAGUUUAUCUCUGAUGUAGUAACGUCACGUGGGAACCGGAGGUUUCUGCUUACGAAUUUGCUGGUUCAAAUUUGGGGCGUUACACCAUACAAUAUGACUCUCAGUGAUGAGUCAGAAGAAGAAGCUCCAGAGUCUGAAAAAUUUCUGGCCUUUGUUGCCUCACAUGUUGAAGAAGAAGACUCGUAU